UACGUAGGGGGCGAGCGUUGUCCGGAAUCAUUGGGCGUAAAGCGCGUGUAGGCGGUCCUGUAAGUCGGAUGUGAAAUCUCCGGGCUCAACCCGGAAACUGCAUCCGGUACUGCAGGACUUGAGGUAGGUAGAGGAGAGUGGAAUUUCUGGUGUAGCGGUGGAAUGCGCAGAUAUCAGAAGGAACACCGAUAGCGAAGGCAGCUCUAUGGGCCUCACCUGACGCUGAGACGCGAAAGCAUGGGUAGCGAACAGG
rnacentral:misc_RNA from 1 species